UACAGAGGUCUCAAGCGUUGUUCGGAUUCAUUGGGCGUAAAGGGUGCGUAGGCGGCGCGGUAAGUCGGGUGUGAAAUCUUGGAGCUUAACUCCGAAACUGCAUUCGAUACUGCCGUGCUUGAGGACUGGAGAGGAGACUGGAAUUUACGGUGUAGCGGUGAAAUGCGUAGAUAUCGUAAGGAAGACCAGUGGCGAAGGCGGGUCUCUGGACAGCUCCUGACGCUGAGGCACGAAGGCCAGGGGGAGCAAACGGG
rnacentral:rRNA from 1 species